rnacentral:rRNA from 1 species
AAACAUAACAUAGAGAGUCCUGCCUGCCCAGUGACAAAAAGUUAAACGGCCGCGGUAUCUUGACCGUGCGAAGGUAGCAUAAUCACUUGUCUCCUAAAUAGAGACUGGUAUGAAUGGCAAGACGGAACUUAACUGUCUCCUUUUCUUGUAUCUUAAUUUCACUUUCCCGUGAAGAGGCGGGAAGAUAUUCGCUAGACGAGAAGACCCUGUCGAGCUUAAGCAAAAUACUAAUUUCUAAUUCCUUUUAAUUGUAUUCUAAUCUUUUUCACUAAAUGCAAUUAAGAGUAAAUUAUUAGUACAAGCUUUGGUUGGGGCAACCGCGGAGAAGAAAAACCCUCCGCUUACAAUAGAUAAAAAUGAGACUCUACAAGUCUAAUAUUGUACAAACAAGUCAACUGAUCCACCACGGUGAUCAAAGGAAAAAGUUACCGCAGGGAUAACAGCGUUAUCUUUUCUGAGAGUUCACAUUGACGAAAAGGUUUGCGACCUCGAUGUUGGAUCGGGACAUCCUAAGGGUGCAGAAGCUUUUAAGGGUUGGUCUGUUCGACCAUUAAAGUCCU